GAAAUGCGAUAACUAGUACGAAUUGCAGAAUUCAGUGAAUCAUCGAGUCUUUGAACGCACAUUGCGCCCGCCAGUACUCUGGCGGGCAUGCCCGUCCGAGCGUCAUUUCAACCCCUCGAGCCGCCCCCCUUUCGGGGGGGACGGGCUCGGCGUUGGGGCGCGCGGGAGCCCGCUUGCUACGGCAGCGGUCCCGCGGCCCUGAAGACCAGCGGCGGCCGCCGAAGGGAUGCCCCCUGCGCAGUAACCAAACCUCGCACCGGGAACCCGCGGCGCGCCGGCCCCCGGCCCUCUGCCGGACCGCAGCGUUUUCGCCUCACAGCGGAGACCUAACUGGUUGACCUCGGAUCGGGUAGGAAUACCCGCUGAACUUAA
rnacentral:misc_RNA from 1 species